UAGUCAUAAAAGUAGUUUCUCAUUUAGUAUAAUUGCAUAAACCAAAAAAAAGUAGCACAGAAUUUAAAUGAAUAUGAUUGAAAAUCUGAAGUAAUAUGCAUAAAAGUUAGGAAUUUAAAUAUUGUACUCAAUAGCAUGAAAACACGAAAACCAAUUUGAAAUCCAGAAGACAUUUCGUAAGGGAAAGGGAAAACCAACAUUGAAGACUUUUUCUCUGCCUUUUUACUCGAGUCACGGUUCAGAACAUACCAUCUCUUAGUGCGACGAGCCAUGUGGUCGUACUGUUUGGUAGUUACUCAAAGAGGAAAAAGAAGCUAGGCAGACCAAACAUAAGUUGGACGAACAAGACUUCUCCAUAUAGACGUUACAACUUACAAACAAGGCAAAGAAAGUACAGCAAAAGGUUUACAAUUUACCACAAAGAGAAUAACACAACAAAACAUGGUACCAUUUGACAAGAGAAACACACUUGCACAUUAUUUAUAACAAAAAAAGAAAAAAAAACUGAUGAUAUAUGCUUCCCCUUUUAUUACCCACCCUGAUCAAAUUCUAAACACCUUAUUCCUCAUGAACUAGACUCCCCUGACAUCGACAUUACUGGGGGCUGUUGCGUGAUUUAUGUAGUAGUGGUGGUGUGAUGGGUUCCACGGGUACGGUCACGGUCAUGCUCACCACCUGUAUGUUGCUGUCCGUAGUAUUGAGCUCUGUCUUUAAUAUCCUGAGCUUUGGUUCCCAGCUUCAUCCUUGCACUGUCCAACUUAUCUGACCCCUGUGGGUGCUCUCCCGUUGCGUACCUAUUCAAUCACACACACACACACACACAUAAAAGUGAACGUCUAUGUUCAAUUAGCCAGAGCUUAUAUUGUAAAAUGGCAACCCCAAAAUCUUUGAUCCGAAGAUAGUGGUCUGAUGCAUACAUGCACACAUGAACACUUAAGAUUUUAUUCACCAGAUUUUUAUUCAUUAGAUGUUUACGUAUAUAUGCUUUUAAGUUUUAGUGUCCUCUCAUGGCAUAUAUGAUUAUUGUUAAAUAUUAUCUUUAGUUAAGACCUUACCUUUUGGUAAGGUGCAGAUAUACAUAUAACACAAAUUGAAAAUUUAUAUCUGUGAUAAUUUUUUUGCUUACUUAUAGAUCCAGGAGAAGACGGUUAUAGCUGCAAUGCCAAACCCACCAGAGGAGAGAAAGCCAGUGAUGAGAAGUGCUACGGUGAUGAGAGCCGGCACGAGGAUUGGGCUAAAGAUAACAAGCAGAGGAGUGGCAACAGUCAAAGCAAUGACUGUUCCGACAAGGGUGAGACUGGAGAGGACAAGAA